rnacentral:tRNA from 1 species
GGAAGGGUGUAGUGGUUUGAGUAUUGGACUGGGACUCUGGAGACCUGGGUUCGAUUCCCCGCUGGGUCA